UACGGAGGAUGCGAGCGUUAUCCGGAUUUAUUGGGUUUAAAGGGUGCGUAGGCGGGAUGCCAAGUCAGCGGUAAAAAUGCGGUGCUCAACGCCGUCGAACCGUUGAAACUGGCGUUCUUGAGUGGGCGAGAAGUAUGCGGAAUGCGUGGUGUAGCGGUGAAAUGCAUAGAUAUCACGCAGAACUCCGAUUGCGAAGGCAGCAUACCGGCGCCCUACUGACGCUGAGGCACGAAAGCGUGGGGAGCAAACAGG
rnacentral:rRNA from 1 species